rnacentral:rRNA from 1 species
CCCUUAGAUGUUCUGGGCCGCACGCGCGCUACACUGAUGAAUUCAACGAGCACUAACCUGUGCCGAAAGGUUCGGGUAAUCUUGUGAAAUUUCAUCGUGAUGGGGAUUGAUUAUUGCAAUUUUUAAUCAUAAACGAGGAAUGCCUAGUAAGCGUGAGUCAUCAGCUCACGUUGAUUACGUCCCUGCUCUUUGUACACACCGCCCGUCGCUCCUACCGAUUGAAUGUGCCAGUGAAAAGUUAGGAUUGGGCGUGGGAGACGGCAACGUAUUCCACAUCCGAGAAAAUCUUUAAACUUUCCCAUUUAGAGGAAGGAGAAGUCGUAACA